rnacentral:rRNA from 1 species
GACGAACGCUGGCGGCGUGCCUAAUACAUGCAAGUAGGACGCUGAAGGAGGAGCUUGCUUCUCUGGAUGAGUUGCGAACGGGUGAGUAACGCGUAGGUAACCUGCCUGGUAGCGGGGGAUAACUAUUGGAAACGAUAGCUAAUACCGCAUAAUAGCAGUUGUUGCAUGACAACUGUUUGAAAGGUGCAAUUGCACCACUACCAGAUGGACCUGCGUUGUAUUAGCUAGUUGGUGGGGUAACGGCUCACCAAGGCGACGAUACAUAGCCGACCUGAGAGGGUGAUCGGCCACACUGGGACUGAGACACGGCCCAGACUCCUACGGGAGGCAGCAGUAGGGAAUCUUCGGCAAUGGACGGAAGUCUGACCGAGCAACGCCGCGUGAGUGAAGAAGGUUUUCGGAUCGUAAAGCUCUGUUGUAAGAGAAGAACGAGUGUGAGAGUGGAAAGUUCACACUGUGACGGUAUCUUACCAGAAAGGGACGGCUAACUACGUG